CCUACGGGAGGCAGCAGUUUCGAAUCAUUCACAAUGGGCGAAAGCCUGAUGGUGCGACGCCGCGUGAGGGAUGAAGGCCUUCGGGUUGUAAACCUCUGUCACCGGGGAAGAAACGCUUCAAGUUAACAGCUUGAAGCCUGACUUAACCCGGAGAGGAAGCAGUGGCUAACUCUGUGCCAGCAGCCGCGGUAAUACAGAGACUGCAAGCGUUAUUCGGAUUCACUGGGCGUAAAGGGUGCGCAGGCGGCCAAAUGUGUGAGGCGUGAAAGCCCGGGGCUUAACCCCGGAAUUGCACCUCAAACUAUUUGGCUAGAGCAUUGGAGAGGGUAGCAGAAUUCACGGUGUAGCAGUGAAAUGCGUAGAUAUCGUGAGGAAUACCAGAGGCGAAGGCGGCUACCUGGACAAUUGCUGACGCUCAGGCACGAAAGCGUGGGGAGCAAAAGGGAUUAGAUACCCCUGUAGUCCACGCCCUAAACGGUGCACACUAGGUCUUGGCGGAUUCGACCCACCAGGGCCCAAGCUAACGCGUUAAGNGUGCCGCCUGAGGCUACGGUCGCAAGACUUAAAACNCAAAUGAAUUGACGNNGAGAGAGACGAGACGACGACGAGGGAGAGG
rnacentral:rRNA from 1 species